CCUUUAAUCUUUAAUCUGGGAUAUGUAUAUACUAACUUCGCACAUCUAGACUUUGCAAUAUUUGCCAACUCUUUUUUGCAGAACUGCUCAAGUUCUGUUAAAUAUGAUGGUGACCGUUUGUGAAAUGCAGUCUUCCAAGUCAUUUCACAGAUUUUCAAUGUGGUUUAAGUCUGGGCUCUGACUAGGCCAUGCAAGGACAUUCAGUGUGGGGUCAGUUUUGCUGUGUGCUUUGGGUCAUUGUCAUGUUGGAAGCACUGCGUGAAAAGAGGAAUCUACGGGAUAAAUCUGACAUGGGAAAUUUCAGUGAAACUUAAGGUGUAGGACCCGUGUACGAAAAUUUCCCAGGCAAGUGUGCUGAGUCCCGUACACGACCAUACACUUGAUAUGCACAGAGAUUUCCGGAUACAGGAUAUUUCUGAUUGCACACACUAGACGUGUUCAGAGAUUUCCAGUACACCAGCCCUCAUAAAAAUUAACCAUGGUUUCAUAAUAGUAAAAGUAUAUACUAUGUUUUUUGGCAGUUUGACUGACAUUUGUAUAACGACAGUUUUACUACAAAUAGGCUACAACGUAAAACUAUGGUUAGUGUACCCAUAGACAUAACAUACGUAGAUGCCUCAUGAGGCGCAUUGGGGACCCAUCCAUGGCGGCUGCGCUGAUACGUCAGCUCCAAUUGGCAGCGUCAGUCUAUGAGGCGUCUACGUAUAUUAUGUCUAUGAGUGUACCAUGUUUAAUUUAUGGUUACCACGGUGAGAACAAUAAUCAUGUUUUUAUUUUAUUUUUAUUUUUUUUAAUGUACCAUGGUUAAUGUCGUAAUUAAGGGAGCAAGCACUGUCUUGUUUUUUCGGGUGUUUAUCAGUUAAAAAAUAAUAGUCCAGUCAUUUUAAAGCUGUAGGCUAGUUUAAAUGAAUCCGAACUGAAUGAAUCUAAACGAGUCUUUUGAAAAGAAUUGCAAAAUUAGAAUAAGAUUAAUAAAAUAAAAUUCACACUAUUCGCGUAGUGCUGUAUCUCGGGGUUUGUUGUAGUUUGGUAAUAGAGGUAACGUUAAUGAACAGUAAUAUAUCAUGCACUGACAUUCCAGGCCUCGCAUUUAGAGCUGAUUCACAUGAGACUUGCAAUUCUUGACGCCCUUGAAUCGAAUCUUUUCGGAAUCGACUCACUGUUCUUACCCCUCCCGCCGCAGCUGUUGUUUGAAUUUGCAUGGGUGAUUUUUAUACAUUUUUAUACAGUCUAUGGUGGGUGCGCUGACAGGAGAGCUUGUGUUCUGUAGUGAGGGGCUACUGGCUGAAGGCUACUGGCUGACAGCAUUCGGUAAUUUCUGAGAGAUUUACCUCAGACGAAGGUAAGUGUGAAUACAUUUUGAAAAACAUGUUUAAACGUUGUUUGAUGUUGUAAUAUUUUUUUAUCUGUAUUUCUAGCAUAAAGUUUCGAGCCGUUUAUUCCAGCUUCAGGUGCUUCGCUGUUGCGCACGCUGAUUUUCUGAGAUUUACAUCACAUGAAGCCUGUGUUGUUUCGAGCCGUUUGUUCCCGCUUCAGCGGCCUUCAGUCAGCGCGCGGUCACAGCUUCCAGAGAGAUUUAUAUCAGAAGAAAAGGCUCCAAACACUGCAGCUGACUUCUGCUUCACCGGAGACAGCCUUGGAGGAGAAAUGGUGUCUUCAUUUGUUAAUAUAUCAUAAUUUUCAAAGUGCAGCGUAAAUUUCACUUGUUUUGUUCAUGUCAGUGUUCUAGUUUAAAUUUUUUAAAAUCUACAAUGUAUUUUGUUUUAUUAUGAUGUGAUUUAAUGUAUAUGUUUUAGUGUGUAUUUAAUGUUUUUAGGUCAGAUAGCAAAUGUUGCCAUUCUUCUUGAAAACUGCUGGUCUUUAAAGAACAGUCAUCAAUUAGGUAACUUGAACACAGUUUUUGAAUACCAUUCUAUUAUUAAAGUUAUCUUUUAUUCAGUUACUAAAUCACUUUGACUAGCUUCGUUGUUUUUUUUUUUCAAUUAUUAAUGAAGUUUAUUUUAACAAUGUUUAGGAGAAACAUUUUCAGAUAAUCCAACCAAUUAGCAUCGGAGGAAGUCUAUAUAUUGCCACUUUUCUCACCUCCAUUCCCAGACAACAGCAGGCCAAAUAUGCUUAUUCUGUCUAUUACAUAUACAGUAGGUGGUUAACCAAAAUGAGCUUUUUGCCACCGCGAGUGCCGCCGCCGCGGCGUCUGCAAAGUGCAUUUGCAGCUUUUGUCUGCUGAGUGGCGCUU